rnacentral:rRNA from 1 species
GUACACAAAAAUGCACAUGCUGUGAGCUCGAUGAGUAGGGCGGGACACGUGGUAUCCUGUCUGAAUAUGGGGGGACCAUCCUCCAAGGCUAAAUACUCCUGACUGACCGAUAGUGAACCAGUACCGUGAGGGAAAGGCGAAAAGAACCCCGGCGAGGGGAGUGAAAAAGAACCUGAAACCGUGUACGUACAAGCAGUGGGAGCCUCUUAAUGGGGUGACUGCGUACCUUUUGUAUAAUGGGUCAGCGACUUAUAUUCUGUAGCAAGGUUAACCGAAUAGGGGAGCCGAAGGGAAACCGAGUCUUAACUGGGCGUUAAGUUGCAGGGUAUAGACCCGAAACCCGGUGAUCUAGCCAUGGGCAGGUUGAAGGUUGGGUAACACUAACUGGAGGACCGAACCGACUAAUGUUGAAAAAUUAGCGGAUGACUUGUGGCUGGGGGUGAAAGGCCAAUCAAACCGGGAGAUAGCUGGUUCUCCCCGAAAGCUAUUUAGGUAGCGCCUCGUGAAUUCAUCUCCGGGGGUAGAGCACUGUUUCGGCAAGGGGGUCAUCCCGACUUACCAACCCGAUGCAAACUGCGAAUACCGGAGAAUGUUAUCACGGGAGACACACGGCGGGUGCUAACGUCCGUCGUGAAGAGGGAAACAACCCAGACCGCCAGCUAAGGUCCCAAAGUCAUGGUUAAGUGGGAAACGAUGUGGGAAGGCCCAGACAGCCAGGAUGUUGGCUUAGAAGCAGCCAUCAUUUAAAGAAAGCGUAAUAGCUCACUGGUCGAGUCGGCCUGCGCGGAAGAUGUAACGGGGCUAAACCAUGCACCGAAGCUGCGGCAGCGACGCUUAUGCGUUGUUGGGUAGGGGAGCGUUCUGUAAGCCUGUGAAGGUGUGCUGUGAGGCAUGCUGGAGGUAUCAGAAGUGCGAAUGCUGACAUAAGUAACGAUAAAGCGGGUGAAAAGCCCGCUCGCCGGAAGACCAAGGGUUCCUGUCCAACGUUAAUCGGGGCAGGGUGAGUCGACCCCUAAGGCGAGGCCGAAAGGCGUAGUCGAUGGGAAACAGGUUAAUAUUCCUGUACUUGGUGUUACUGCGAAGGGGGGACGGAGAAGGCUAUGUUGGCCGGGCGACGGUUGUCCCGGUUUAAGCGUGUAGGCUGGUUUUCCAGGCAAAUCCGGAAAACCAAGGCUGAGGCGUGAUGACGAGGCACUACGGUGCUGAAGCGACAAAUGCCCUGCUUCCAGGAAAAGCCUCUAAGCAUCAGGUAACAUCAAAUCGUACCCCAAACCGACACAGGUGGUCAGGUAGAGAAUACCAAGGCGCUUGAGAGAACUCGGGUGAAGGAACUAGGCAAAAUGGUGCCGUAACUUCGGGAGAAGGCACGCUGAUAUGUAGGUGAAGCGACUUGCUCGUGGAGCUGAAAUCAGUCGAAGAUACCAGCUGGCUGCAACUGUUUAUUAAAAACACAGCACUGUGCAAACACGAAAGUGGACGUAUACGGUGUGACGCCUG